rnacentral:lncRNA from 1 species
GUAAAAUCUCACCGAGCAACCUGGAAUUGUGAUACCACUUGAUAGUGGCGAAGUUGUCUCUGUCUUUCGAUGAGAUGGUGGUUAUCGUUUUUGGUGGAGUAGACUUUGACGAUCCGACUACAAACGUGUGAAGACGUCGCGUCUUAACAAUCGCUAAACCAACUCCGAUAGGUUAUUGACCACGCCGGAGCACGAUCAACCAGACCAUGAGGGUCUGAUUCCUACAUGCAAACGAAGAACAAGCAAGAAAUUGAAAUUGCAAUCUGGAUAUUACGAAUAUAAGAGUAAAUAUUUAUUGAUGAAAGUGGGGUUUUAUGAUGCUUUGGUCAGGUCGUAGAACACAAACGAAGGACGUGAAGUUGCAGCUAUGACGAACUUCUAAUCUAAACAAAAUCCAAAUCUAGAACGGUGACAUAAGGGUUGUAUAUAUGAGGGAAUACAGAGGGAUUCUCGUGACCUUUGGAGGAGAGGUCCGAAAACGACCCUAACCUCGGUUUCCCCACACAUACAGACUCUAAAAAUAACCUAUGUGGUAGUAUUUUGAAAUUACAUGGGCCUGACCCAAAAAUAAGGUGACGCAACACUUAUGGUUUCUAGGGAGCUUAUGGACGUGUAUAUUUUGUCCAAGCCUUCAUGUUUUUUUUAUGGUGGCUUCAAAGUCCGAAAAUCACCACUAGAAGCUCCCUUGUUCUUUCCCGCAUGUGCACUUUCCCCUUCAUGCUUGAUCCCGCUCCAAUGAUUAUCCUCCUUGUCCAUGCUAGAUCCUUCAUUCAUAAGCAAAACAAAAAUAUAUAAUUUAGGCAACAUCAUAUGUUCAUGAACAUUAGAAGGAUUUUCAAGA